rnacentral:rRNA from 1 species
UACGAAGGGGGCUAGCGUUGUUCGGAAUCACUGGGCGUAAAGGGCGCGUAGGCGGCUUUUUAAGUCGGGGGUGAAAGCCUGUGGCUCAACCACAGAAUUGCCUUCGAUACUGUAGAGCUUGAGACCGGAAGAGGUAAGUGGAACUGCGAGUGUAGAGGUGAAAUUCGUAGAUAUUCGCAAGAACACCAGUGGCGAAGGCGGCUUACUGGUCCGGUUCUGACGCUGAGGCGCGAAAGCGUGGGGAGCAAACAGG